GAAUAGUCGAUAGCUGAAACGAUGACGUAAUGGCGGACAAUUAAUUUAAUGGAGACGCAACACUAGACCAAAGUGAAACCAUGACACAGUCAUAAAACAGAUUAUUGAAAAAUCAUGAAACUUGGUAAAAACACAAGAGACAUCAUAAGACACGUUUUUAGUAUUGGAAAGAUUGACUCCGCCCAACAGGAAGUCGGCCAUUUUGAAAUAUGUGCAUUUUACACACAUUUUUUGCAUACUUUGUCGAACUCCUCCUAGGGAAUUUGUUGAAUACUCUUGAUAUUUGUCUGUAAUAAACUGCUAACAUACUUGAUUGUAAAUUGCGAAGGAAUAGUCGAUAUCUUAAACGAGGACGAAAUGGCGGACAGUUGAAUUGCUUGAGAUGCCCCGUUAAAACAGGAAGUGAAUACAUUCUGGUGUUAGUAGGUGUUUGAGGAGGUUAAAAAGGUUAAAAACUCUCAAAAAUUUACAGGCCUGCUUGAUUUAAGCAGUACUUUGAUCUGAAAUAAAAAUGUCAUAUAUACGUAUUUCAUUGGCUCUAUAGCGCCACCUAGGUUUCAAUGCAUAUUUGACAUUACGGGAAUGCUCAAAACCUCUUGAAAAUUGACAGAUUGCAUAAGACCUAAAAACACUUUACAAAUAUUUUGACAAUUUUUUCAUGUAUAGCUAGCGGACUCUACAGCGCCCCCUAAUUGGUUCGUUUAAUAAAUUAGCUGUGGAUGUGUCAAAAUUUGUCUAAUCUUCUCAAAUUUUGGUAGGAUCGUAGAUAGUAUGACCCUGCACAUAUUUGCAAUUGGCUUGUAUUAGCUCCGCCCCACAGGAAGUCGGCCAUAUUGGAAUUUGUAAUAUUUUUACACAUUUUUCACAAACUCAUUUAAACUGCUCCUAAAGUCUUUGUCAGAUUACCUCUUAUUUCACUGUAAAUGAACAACAGACAUAUUUGAUGAUAACUGCCAAAGGAUUAGUUGACUGGUAAAACGGUGACCCAAUGGCGAGCAAUUGAUUCACUAGAGACGCAACACUAAACCAAAGUGAAACCAUGACACGGUCAGAAAACAGAUUAUUGAAAAUUCAUGAAACUUGGCAAAAACACAAAAGACAUCAUUACACACAUUUUCAGCAUUGGUAGGACUGACUCCGCCCAACAGGAAGUCGGCCAUUUUGAAAUAUCUGCAUUUUACAUACAUUUUUUUGCGUAUGUUGUCAAACUACUCCUAGCUAAUUUUGUUGAAUUCUCUUGAUAUUUGGUAAAAAUAAACAUUGAACAUAUCUGAUGAUAAAUUGUGAAGGAAUAGUCGAUAUCUCAAACGAGGACGAAAUGGCAGAUGGUUGAAUUUGUGAGAUGCCACAUCAAAACAGGAGGUCAAAACCUAGGAAAUGCCAGGUGUUUUGAGGAGGUUAUAACGGAGAAAAACUCACAAAAUUUGACCGGCCUGCUUAUCUAAGGCUGUUGUUUGAUUUAGAAUUAGAAUUUCAAAUACAUGUAUUUUAACAGCGCCAUAGCGCCACCUGUAUUUUAAAUGGAUAUUUCACAUGUUUAACAGGAUAGAAAACUCUUGAAAAUUGGCACACUCAAUAAGACCUCAAAAUUACUUUUACCGGUUUCUCGGUUUGGCCCGGUACGAUUUGCGCUGUUGUGCGAGGGCCCUACGUCCCCCUGUGACAGGGGGACAACUCGUUAUUAUUAUUAUUAUUAGGGCCCGAGCACCGAAGGCGCAGGCGAAGCCUGCACCGGAGGUGCAAAGCCCUAUUGUUUUUGGUCCGUUUAUUAUUAUUAUUAUUAUUAUUCUGCCUCUUUGCGUCCAUUUUUGAGGCAUUUCCGAUACUCGAAAACUCACGCAUUUUGGCACAGGCCUCAAGCUCUGCGAAAAUUUUAAAGUUCCAUAGAGGCUGGACUUUGGCGUUGUUCAGGAGCUCUAUAGCGCCCCCAAACGUCGGCAGUGGCCGGGAUGAAGUUUGUCCAACGUGCACCAACUUUGGUACGCUCAUUGACCUCCUCAUAAACAACAAGAAUCACUAGGUUUUAUUUGACUCCGCCCAACAGGAAGUCGGCCAUUUUGACAGGAAGUUGCAAAAUAAAAAGUUUCCCGCUGGGUUUCAGAGGGGUUAGGAUGUUUGAAAACUCCUAAAAUUUUACAGAGCUAUUUGGCUUAGGCCAUACUUUGACGAUAAGUUGGAAUUUCGUAAAUUCGUCUUUCAUCAGCUCUCUAGCGCCACCUAUUUUAUAUCAUAUUUAUGAAGAGCUCUCAGCCUCUUGAUGAUUGGCAGAUUCAAUAAGUCUUUGAAAUGAUUUAGGAAUAUUUUGUCGUUUUUCUCAUGAGUAGCUAGAGGACUCUACAGCGCCCCCUAUUUUGUUUAGGCCAUUAAAUUAGCUGUAGCUGUCUCAAAAUUUCUCCAAUAUUCUCGAUUUUUGGCAACAACAUAGA